GAUCCAACAUAAAGACAUACUCACGAUGAUUAUAUAUAAUGGGGAUCACAUGACUUCUGUGUAUAAAAGCGAAAGAAAUUGAUCAUAUCGCUAUUUAUUUCCGAGAUUUCAUUUGACAGCAUAGGCUGUUUUCAAUUGUUGAAGAAGGGUGUUUAAAUUAUUAAAAAACAAGAAGAAGAUGAAUAUAUCAAAGAUUUAUAAUUUAUAAAUACAAGAAGAUGAGAAUGUCAGAGAUGACUAUAAAACAUUAUGGAUCAUGGUCCUAAUGGGGGACGUUAAAUUCCAUCUGUAUGCCAACAGUCGUCUGGUGGAUGAACGACGUUUGAAACAGUAACAAAAUACUUCCACGUUUCACAAGUGUCUUCUGACAUCGUCAAAGACUUGCUUGGGGUGUUUCUGUCUUCUUUGGUCUUAGUGUGUUUGAUUUUGGACUUGCAAAAACCAGUUUUAUAAAUCAGAAAUCUUGGACGUUAUCUUUAUCUAGUAUAAUUUACAAUUAAAAGUGUGUCAAACUAAAUAUAGAAUUAAUUAAAACAAAUAAAAGUGAACUAUC